GGAAUUUUCCGCAAUGGGAGAAAGCCUGACGCAGCAAUGCCGCGUGAGUGAAGAAGGCCCUCGGGUCGUAAAGCUCUUUAUCUUCGGGAAGAUGAUGACGGUACCGAAGGAAGAAGCACCGGCUAACUACGUGCCAGCAGCCGCGGUAAUACGUAGGGUGCAAGCGUUGUUCGGAAUCACUGGACGUAAGGGGCGUGUAGGCGGAACGAUUAGCGAGGGGUGAAAUCCCGGGGCUCAACCCCGGAACUGCUCUUCGAACUGUCGAUCUAGAGAAGGUCAGGGGCCGGCGGAAUUCCUGGUGUAGAGGUGAAAUUCGUAGAGAUCAGGAGGAACAUCGGAGGCGAAGGCGGCCGGCUGGGGCCAUUCUGACGCUGAGGCGCGAAAGCGGGGGGAGGAAACAGGAUUAGAUACCCCAGUAGUC
rnacentral:rRNA from 1 species